CCAUUGAUUUUAAUGGUGUAAGAUUCUUGUGUGCAAUUUUCUGGGUACACAGUGGUUGAAGACUCUCAGUGGGGGUCGAUUUAGUGGGUGGACCAAGUAUAAUUAAAGAAUUCCAUUAUAGUAGAGAUACUGAGAUAACUCACUUGCCAUCAUACAAGAGUACAUCGUGGCAUGGAGGUAAACGAUUAAUUAGGAUGUAAC
rnacentral:lncRNA from 1 species